rnacentral:tRNA from 1 species
GGGGAUAUAGCUCCAUUGGUAGAGUGCUUGUCUUGCAUGCAGAAGGCCCUGGGUUCAAUCCCCAGCACCACCA